rnacentral:rRNA from 1 species
UUGAAGGCUGGAAUGAAUGGUUGGACAAGAAAUAAGCUGUCUUAAAUAAAAAUAUUGAACUUAACUUUUAAGUGAAAAGGCUUAAAUUUUCUAAAGGGACGAUAAGACCCUAUAAAACUUUAUAUUUAAAAGUAAUUGCAAUUAUUAUUUAAAGAUUUUAUUUUUAAAUAUUUUAUUGGGGUGAUAAGGAUAAAAUAUAAGACAACUGUCUUUUAUUUUAACAAUAAUUUUUGAGUAAAUGAUCUUAGUAAAGGAAUAAAAGAUUAAGUUACUUUAGGGAUAACAGCGUAAUUUUCUUUGAGAGUUCUUAUCGACAAGAAAGUUUGCGACCUCGAUGUUGAAUUAAAAGUUCUUUAUAGAGUAGAGACUAUAUUAGAAGGUCUGUUCGAC